UAGCAAACUCUGCUUAGGAUUGAUGGGUU
rnacentral:piRNA from 1 species